rnacentral:rRNA from 1 species
UACAGGGGGUGCAAACGUUGCUCGGAAUUAUUGGGCGUAAAGCGCGCGUAGGCGGCUACUUAAGUCGGAUGUGAAAGCCCUUGGCUCAACUGAGGAAGUGCACCCGAAACUGAGUAGCUGGAGUACGAAAGAGGGUCGCGGAAUUCCCGGUGUAGAGGUGAAAUUCGUAGAUAUCGGGAGGAACACCGGGUGGCGAAGGCGGCGACCUGGGUCGAUACUGACGCUGAGGCGCGAAAGCGUGGGGAGCAAACAGG